rnacentral:misc_RNA from 1 species
AACGAGGCCGACCUGCGGCUGAGUUACCUGCGGAAGGAUCAUUACAGAGUUCAUGCCCUCACGGGUAGAUCUCCCACCCUUGAAUACUAUACCUUUGUUGCUUUGGCGGGCCGCUUUGGCUACUGGCUCUGGCUAGUAAGUGCCCGCCAAAGAACCCCAAAACUCUGAAUAUUAGUGUCGUCUGAGUACUAUAUAAUAGUUAAAACUUUUAACAAUGGAUCUCAGAUCGGAAGAGCACAC